AAGGGAAUAGCAAAAGGGGUUCUAACCCAAGCCUUAGGCCCCUGGAACCGUCCAGUGGCUUAACUGUCCAAGAAACUAGACACAGUGGCUGCCGGCUGGCCGCCAUGCCUAAGAAUUAUUGCGGCUACAGCACUCCUAGUCAAGGAUGCAGACAAACUGACCCUAGGACAGGAGAUCUGGAUCACUACCCCACACGCCAUUGAAGGGGUCCUGAAACAGCCUCCUGAUAGAUGGAGGAGCAACACACAUAUGACUCAUUACCAGAGCCUCCUACUCAACCCUCCAUGAGUGCGGUUCCACCCCAGUGCAGCCCUCAAUCCUGCAACCCUGCUGCCCGACCCUGACCUAGGUGCUCCACUACAUGACUGUGCAGGAAUCCUGGAACAAGUACAUGGAUUCCGGACAGACCUGACCGACCGGCCCCUCCCUGAUGCCGAGGCUACUUGGUUCACUGAUGGCAGCAGCUUUGUGCGAGACGGACACAGUAUUUACAGACACCUUCUCUGGCUGGGUGGAGGCAUACCCAACCAAGCAUGAAAUGGCUCAGAUGGUGGCUAAGAACCUAUUGGAAGACAUCUUACCCAGAGGGUGCACGAGGACAUUUGGCUGUGCCUCCGUGCCAUCUACAAGGCUGGCCCAACCCCGACAUCUCAUCAGUACAGGCCGGGAGACUGGGUCUACGUCAAGAGGCACCACUGAGAGACUCUCGAGCCACACUGG